GCGGGAUGUGCCCUAGUGGGUUAAACCGGUAUGGCGGCUUGUUAGACAAAAGGGGAGUGGGGGUCAGCUGAGAAGACACUACUGAGUUGAUAAUUGUAACAAUUGAAAUGCUAAUACUUUGCACAUGAACGUUCACUCAUUUGGGAAUAAUUGCAAUCAAUAUAUAUAUUUACGCUCAGUGUGUCAUCGGGAUCUCUGUUGAAAAGUUUGUUUCUGUUGGAGAGUUUGUCCGCCCUCUCUCUCUCGCUGUCGUGGUUAGAAUGGAUAAUUCAGAGUGACGUUCAUUCAGGUCGUUAUAGAAUAGAUGUUUCUGCGGUUGUCGGUCUUCGCGUUCAAUGAUACCGAAUUCCUAGCUGCAGACUAGUAAUUAAUAUCAAAGACUUGCUCUUAUUCUGUCGGUAUCGAUAGUCUUAGAGUUUAACCACGUGGGAUGGUUAAAAGAUUCAGCAAUCUACUCAAACCCUUAUUUCCCUCUGUGACAGAGGUACUGGUCUGAUCUCAAACCUUGGCCCUCUCGUUAUUGAGGUAAGCUGGUCUGGUGAUAGAAAACCCAGGUGGGGGUUUUAUUCGGAACAUCGAAAGGGGCUGUCUCAUGACGCCCGGUCCUGUCUGUGCCCCUGGGAGUGUUCUCAUGACGCCAGGUCCUGUCUGUGCCCCUGGGGGUGUUCUCAUGACGUCAGGUCCUGUCUGUGCCCCUGGGGGUGUUCUCAUGAUGCCAGGUCCUGUCUGUGCCCCUGGGGGUGUUCUCAUGACGCCAGGUCCUGUCUGUGCCCCUGGGGGUGUUCCCAUGACGCCAGGUCCUGUCUGUGCCCCUGGGGGUGUUCCCAUGACGCCAGGUCCUGUCUGUGCCCCUGGGGGUGUUCCCAUGAUGACAG
ensembl:lncRNA